rnacentral:pre_miRNA from 7 species
GCCUGCCCUCCAGCAGCUCACAAUCUAGUGGGAGAAUCAGAAAGGCAACUCAAUAGACUGUGAGCUCCUUGAAGGUAGGGA